UACGGAAGGCAGCAGUGGGGAAUAUUGCACAAUGGGCGCAAGCCUGAUGCAGCCAUGCCGCGUGUAUGAAGAAGGCCUUCGGGUUGUAAAGUACUUUCAGUCGUGAGGAAGGUGUUAAGGUUAAUAACCUUAGCAAUUGACGUUAGCGACAGAAGAAGCACCGGCUAACUCCGUGCCAGCAGCCGCGGUAAUACGGAGGGUGCGAGCGUUAAUCGGAAUUACUGGGCGUAAAGGGCACGCAGGCGGUUAAUUAAGUUGGAUGUGAAAUCCCCGGGCUUAACCUGGGAAUGGCAUUCAAGCUGGUUAGCUAGAGUCUUGUAGAGGGGGUAGAAUUCCAUGUGUAGCGGUGAAAUGCGUAGAGAUGUGGAGGAAUACCGGUGGCGAAGGCGGCCCCUGGACAAAGGACUGACGCUCAUGUGCGAAAGCGUGGGGAGCGAAACAGGAUUAGAUACC
rnacentral:rRNA from 1 species